rnacentral:misc_RNA from 1 species
UAUACGUCAAUUGCUGCUGUGUGUGCGAUAGAGAUAUCAAUUGCCGGACAUUGACUGAACGAAGAGUGAGAGGAGGAUAACGGCUGCCAGUGUGCUCUGCUUUUCUCUUAUUUAUUCGCAUGUUAUUUUUAGGUUAAGCAUAGACAUAAUGAAGGCGUUAAUUUAGCUAAUGCCAGCGCAGCUUGGCUUUUUAUAAGCUGCCAGCAUAAUAUCGACUACAUAUAUAUGUAUAGAUCAAACAAAUAAAAACAAAUUGGAAAAAAAACAUGUCUAAAGUCUUUUAUAUUACGAAGCAAAUGGAAUCCACGGUGAUACCGUCAUGCAACUCAAUAAUAUCGAAUGGAAGCGUUUUUAAAGUCAUGGCCUAUACACGCUGUGGCAGGGAACCGGUCCGCACCACAAUUACCGUUAAGGAGUUGAUUGGCAAGGGCACCUUCGGCCGCGUCUACAAGGCGCAUCUCGACAAAUCGGAGCGUCUGGUGGCUCUAAAGCAAGUCGACUUCGAUCCCCACCUGAUGGAACGAGAGCCGGAAAUAAUGAAUUACCUGGAGGGGCACUGCAAUAUAGUACGCCUGAUCAUGUACUGCUAUGCCCAGAUAAACUGCUCCAAGCAAAACUAUCUGCUCAUGGCCAUGGAGUACAUGCCAAUGACGCUCGCCGAGCUCAUAAUCAAGCAUCGCCAGCGACCCCUGCAGAUGAUCUACGUGCGCAUUAUCUCCUAUCAACUGUUCCGGGGCCUCGGUUAUUUGCACUCGCACUGCAUCUGCCAUCGGGACAUUAAGCCGGAGAAUAUGCUGAUCGAUCCGCUUACAAUGAGCCUCAAAUUGGCCGACUUUGGCAGCGCCAAGUUCCUGGACAUCAACGAGUCGAGUGCCACGUACGUCUGCUCGCGGUUCUAUCGGGCGCCCGAACUCUAUGCCGGAUGCCAGCGUUAUAGCACCACGGUGGACGUCUGGAGCGCCGGCUGUGUGCUCGCCGAGCUGCUCAAGAGCUUCGCGCUCUUCGCCAGCAACAUGCACGACGAGGCCCAGCUGCUGCACAUGAUUAGUGUCCUGGGCACCGACGGCUUGGAGCGUGCGCCUCAUAUCCUGGCAGCCAGUGGCCUGGACACCGCCACUACAAUCAUCCCGCGACCCAGUUGGCAAAUGCUAAUUGGCGUCUGGGUGCCACAGGAUUUGGCAGCACUACUCGAUGCUUGCCUGCAGUAUGAUCCCACAGCUCGCAUCGCCCCGCUGCGAGCCUGUGCCCACGCCAGCUAUGACGAGCUGCGCACCAUGGAUCCCCUCAACACCCACAUGCCCAACGGAAUGCGGCCGCCAUCCCUAUUCAACUUCAGCCAGCAUGAGCUGCAGGUUGAUCCCGGCCUCUGGAUGCAUCUAUUACCUCUCCAACUUGCGGAAGUCAUCGAGCAGUAGCGACUCAAGUGCAACACUAGAUUUUAAGUUCAUGUAGUUUAUAGUCGCUCAAGGCUGUAUUAGUUAUAUACAUAGCUUUUUAAAUACUAAACAUGAGGAGCAACUCCUGCACUA